rnacentral:sRNA from 1 species
AGCGUGCGCCCGGUGGGGCCGGCCGGGACUCGCCGCUCGCACGCCCUUGGGCCGCGGCCGGGCGCCCGCUCUUCCUUCCGCUUGCGCUGUGAGCUGAGCCGGUGUAUGUGCGGCAAUAACAUGUCAACCCCGCUGCCCGCCAUCGUGCCCGCCGCCCGGAAGGCCACCGCUGCGGUGAUUUUCCUGCAUGGAUUGGGAGAUACUGGGUAGGUACCAUUAUUAUUAAUAGUAACAGUAAUGAAACUGGGGUCAUACAACUUUUGUUUACGCGGUCAAAGGUUUAACGUUUAAGGACGCUAAAAUGGUAUUUUUAAAAGAUUGCCAGUUAAUGUAUCUUACAGUGCGGUAUUUUAUGUUUUGAAAACCUUCAGAAUUUUACCCUUAUCAUCGUGAGUUUAUUGAUUUUUUAACUCUGGUUUCUGGAACAUAUUAAAAUUGCAAAUUCCUCAUUAGUUGCUUUGGGUAUUGGAUACCAGAGAUCAGUGGAAUGUUAGUAGGGACGGUGUGCAAUUGAGAGCUUUCCAGACAGUUAAAAUUUCAGAGCAAAUUGAAGAGAAGAACUAGUUGAUUUUGAUAAGAGAACUAGUGGCAACAUAAGGCAUGCAGCAUUCUGAAUAGAGGGAUUAGAUGUUCACUCUAAUGAGUUGAAAGGCAGGGGAGGCAACUCAAAGAUUUAUUUGGAGGCUUAUCAAACAAUUUGUUGUACUAACUGUACUUAUUUUUAUUUUAUUUUUUGUUUGUUUGCUUUUUUCUUUUGUUAUUAUUUUU